GCGGGCAGCCCACCGUGAAAACCCUAGCCAUUCUCCUUCCCGUUUCUGUUCACACCUCGCGGCGGCGGAUCGAGCGAGAGACCCCAUGGCAGCGUCGGGGUUGGUCUGGAUGCGGCGUCGUGGCCGCACGGCAUCUGGGCUCACGGUGCCUCGCAGGAGAUGCGGCCUUGCGCUGCCGCCACGGCCGCACCUACCGCCGGCGGGCCUCCACGGCUUCUUGGAUGCGCACUUUGCGUCCCCUGAGAACCUGGCUUCCGUGCUAGCGCUUGCCAUGGUGCUGCAUCGCGAGCAUGCUGAGCUCGACGCGUUUCCCGACCAUCUCAAGGGGCAACGUCCGCCUCAGCAUAAGGAGCGACAAGUUCCUCGAUGAGGCGAUGACUCUCCGUGGAGGCAGCACCGACCUUCUCUACAGAUGGAAACUGUGGCAUGACCGUGAGAUAGGUUGCAAGUAUUCUCUUGAAGAACUUUGUUGCGAAAAACUGGUACCCUGCUGAUCCUGGUAUGUGAAGGUCAGUAAUUAUACACCAUUUGUAUGUGCCAUGUUAAGUUAGCCCUUUUUCCUUUCUCUAGAAAAAAAGCAAAAAAUUAUUAGAAACUGAACAGCCUACAUUCCUAGUGAAAAGUUCUUUGAUGAGCAGCCAGAAGUCCACAUGAUAGUUAAAUUAGCUUUUCUACUUGUGCAACUAUUGAUGCCCCUUUCUGUUGACUACAUUCCUACAUUCCUACAUGUUUGUGCCCCUUUCUGUUGACUACUUAUUGAUGCCUUUAUUUUUAGGUGAGGAGGAAAACUGAAUAAUGACAUGAUAGGGGUCCCUGCUUAUGAUAAGGCGACAUUACUUUGCAAAUUCUUUAGUUUUUCUUGUAGUAUUUGUUUAAUGUAUUGGCUAGCUUGAUAAGAAUGUUCCUUUUUUUUUGGCGAAACAGAUAAGAAUGUUCCUUUUAUAUGCAGGCAGCACUAUUUUUCUUGCAGUAUUUGCUUAAUGCAAGAAGAGUGUUCACAUGGAAUGCAGAAAAAACAAGAAUCUUGAGAAUUGGAGAGAGCAGGAGUUGCUGUGUAAAAUAGGCUUGUUAUUAGUCUCUAUUUGAUGAUGUAUGAAAGUUUCUGGUAUUUCAAGUUGUUUAGCUAGUUACUCUACAAAUUUGCUUGUAAGUUAAUAUCGACAAUGUCCAAUUCAUGCCGUUAUAUGAACAAGCCUGAUUUGUAUCCGUAGCAUUCCAUUUGAUUAAUAAUCGUUGGAUAAAGAAUUACCAUUUGCUUUA